ensembl:snRNA U6 U6 spliceosomal RNA
GUGCUCUCUUUGGCCACACAUAUACUAAAAUUGGAACAACACAGAGAAGAUUAGCAUGGCUCCUGCACAAGGAUGACAUGAAAAUUCAUAAAAAAAUGAAAUAAUAA